GAUGAACGCUGGCGGCGUGCCUAAUACAUGCAAGUCGAGCGAACGGACGAGAAGCUUGCUUCUCUGAUGUUAGCGGCGGACGGGUGAGUAACACGUGGAUAACCUACCUAUAAGACUGGGAUAACUUCGGGAAACCGUAGCUAAUACCGGAUAAUAUUUUGAACCGCAUGGUUCAAAAGUGAAAGACGGUCUUGCUGUCACUUAUAGAUGGAUCCGCGCUGCAUUAGCUAGUUGGUAAGGUAACGGCUUACCAAGGCAACGAUGCAUAGCCGACCUGAGAGGGUGAUCGGCCACACUGGAACGGAGACACGGUCCAGACUCCUACGGGAGGCAGCAGUAGGGAAUCUUCCGCAAUGGGCGAAAGCCUGACGGAGCAACGCCGCGUGAGUGAUGAAGGUCUUCGGAUCGUAAAACUCUGUUAUUAGGGAAGAACAGAUGUGUAAGUAACUGUGCACAUCUUGACGGUACCUAAUCAGAAAGCCACGGCUAACUACGUG
rnacentral:rRNA from 1 species